UACGAAGGGGGCGAGCGUUGUUCGGAUUUACUGGGCGUAAAGAGCUCGUAGGCGGCUUGUCGCGUCGACUGUGAAAACCCGUGGCUCAACCAUGUGGUCUGCAGUCGAUACGGGCAGGCUAGAAUUCGGUAGGGGAGAGUGGAAUUCCUGGUGUAGCGGUGAAAUGCGCAGAUAUCAGGAAGAACACCCGUGGCUAAGGCGGCUCUCUAGUACGGUACUGACGCUGAGACGCGAAAGCGUGGGGAGCGAACAGG
rnacentral:rRNA from 1 species